rnacentral:misc_RNA from 1 species
AGCGCCUGGAGCCGGCUCCGCGGCGGAGGGGCGGCGCCCCGACCCAGGCCCAGCACCGUGGGCACCGCCAGGCCGGCGCGUAUGGAGGCGGUGGGACGCCUGCGGCGCGGGUGAGCCUGGCAGAUGCUGUGUGCUGUGGACCCACCUGGGGUUCAUGGAGUGGGCCACGGGGCCCAGCCCUAAGCACUGCUGCGCCCAGGGUCGCCGCGCCUCCUGCUGAGGGGUCCCCGUGCCACUGGCUCUCACCAUUGCCCUCGCCUGCCGAUGGCCUCUGCUGCCCAGCCUGGGGCCAGCUCUACCGCCUGAGCCCCCUGCCCCACUCCAGGACUCACCGUACCCCGAUGGGGUAACGUGACACAGGCCCCACACGUCAGAGGCCGCUGUCCCCACGGCCACUGCCCGUGACCCCUGGCCCAAGGCAGCUGGAGUUGGUUCAGUUCAAGUUCAUUCUUCCUCUGGCCCUUGGGGGCUUGGGGCCCACCUCUGAGUGAAGGGGGCUGUCUGCCCAUCCACCAAUGUGGAGAGGGCGCCCCCGGUGUGGGGUCCAGCUCUGGACACUGCUUGGCGGCCGGGUUC